rnacentral:rRNA from 1 species
GAUGAACGCUGGCGGCGUGCCUAAUACAUGCAAGUCGAGCGAACAGACGAGGAGCUUGCUCCUCUGACGUUAGCGGCGGACGGGUGAGUAACACGUGGAUAACCUACCUAUAAGACUGGGAUAACUUCGGGAAACCGGAGCUAAUACCGGAUAACAUGAUGAACCGCAUGGUUCAACAGUGAAAGACGGUCUUGCUGUCACUUAUAGAUGGAUCCGCGCCGCAUUAGCUAGUUGGUAAGGUAACGGCGUACCAAGGCAACGAUGCGUAGCCGACCUGAGAGGGUGAUCGGCCACACUGGAACUGAGACACGGUCCAGACUCCUACGGGAGGCAGCAGUAGGGAAUCUUCCGCAAUGGGCGAAAGCCUGACGGAGCAACGCCGCGUGAGUGAAGAAGGUCUUCGGAUCGUAAAACUCUGUUAUUAGGGAAGAACAAAUGUGUAAGUAACUAUGCACGUCUUGACGGUACCUAAUCAGAAAGCCACGGCUAACUACGUG